AGGCCAGGCAUUGAACCUGAAACCUCGUGGUUCCUAGUUGGAUUGUUUCCGCUGUGCCACAACGGGAACUCCCUGUUCUUUUUAUUUUUUAUUGUGAUUUAAAUUGAUUAAAAAAAAUACCAGCCUCAUCCUGGGCCUGUAUCAGUCUGCACAUUGGAUUUUGGGAAACACUGGUGUUUGUAUGCCUGGGACUUGUGACCCAAACACCCCUGGAGGAGUAGAAGAGAGAGAAGUUACAAUAUAUACUACCCAAAUUAUUCAUUUUAUGAGUUAUUAAAGGGAAGGAGUUGGAAGAUAUCCAAAACGCUGGUAGCUGUCUAGUUGAGGUGAAAUUGUGUGGUGCCUUGAUGAUCAGAGCAUCAAAGGAAGAUGUUUGUUCAUGUGUGUGGCCCUACUUUUGGCCUUAUGCAGCUCUUCCAAGUGACUCUAGGAAGACCGUGAAUUCCUUGGUUAUUUGAAAUUUUGUUUUUCCACUCUUGCCAUUUUGAAAUUGUUUUUGUGUGACUGUUAGUUAUACAGUCUUUGAUGUUCAAACAUUGGUUUUCUGAGGCUGGGUAGAGAGUAAGGGAGAAAGGUAUGAGUUUUAAAAUUAUUUUAGGAGUUUCCUGGUGGCUCAGUGGGUUAAGGAUCUGACAGUGGUCAUUGCUGUGGCUCGAGUUGCUGGUGUGGUGCGGGUUUGAUCCUUGGCCUUGGAACUUUUAUAUGCUGUAGGCACAGCCAAAAAAAAAAAAAAAAAUUAUUUUAGAUUUUCAGAUACAGCCUAAAAAUUUUUAAUUUCAUUUGAAUUAAAUUCUAGGUCUAGUUUAAAUUUAAAGAAUAUAGAUAAGUGCUUCCUGUGGUUUAAUACUGGUUUUUGAGGUAAAUAUGACAAAUUUUUUUUUUUUUCUUUUUAGGGCCACACUCACGGCAUAUGGAGAGUCCCAGGCUAGGGUUCCAAUCGGAGCUACAGCUGCCAGCCUAUACCACAGCUCCCGACAAAGCCAGAUCCUUAACCCACUGAGUGAGGCCAGGGAUCAAACCCGCAACCUUAUGGUUCCUAGUUGUAUUCUUUUCCACUGCACCGUAUUGGGAACUCUGACAAAUACUUUUAAACACUGAGUUACUAAAAGACUCUUGGGAACGGAGUGUUACAGACCCUUGAUAAAAACAGUUCUGAAAUUUUAUGGGGGCACAGUCAUUGCUUAAGAAUUUCUUCUCUGAAAACAUACAAGUUAAACUACUUAAUUGUGAUAGCACAUGGGCAUAUUUCUAGAGAAAUUAGGUAUUUUGAUAGAAAAUAACAAUUUUAUGAAUAGGAAUUCAUUUAUUAACUUAUUUUUUUCCAUACAUAUUUAUUGGAGAUUCUGAUUUGUGCUAAAUAUUGUUUGAAAAAAUUGGGGGUCCAGCCAGGACUUAAACACCCUGCCCUUAUAGAGAUUAUCUUCUAGUGAGCAAGACAGUCGUAUGUAAGUAAAAAAAAAAAAUAGCUGUGCCAUGAAAUAAAAAGAUGCUAUGGGAAAGACAAAUGGUGAUGGCAGCUGGGAAGGGGGAAGGGCUGCUUUGAUUAGAACGGCUAGAGCUGGUUGCCUUCCUCAGGUGACAAUUUAGACUAGUCCAGAAAGAUGGGAAGGAGGCUGUAAGAGGCACAGAAGACUAUGGCCAUCAAGUAGCAAAGAACGUGGUGCAUCCUUGGAAGUGUCAGAAAGUCAACUUGGGUGGAGCCUAUGGCCUAAGGGAUGAGGGACACCAGGCUCUUUUAAUAGGGCCCUAGUAAAUGCUGAAUAAAUGAAUGAGUGUAAGACUUUUUCUGAUUAAAUCCUUAUUGCAAACUGAAAGAGGGUGAUCAUGAUUGAGAGAUGGGUAUGGCUAGGGAUAAUGGUCAGCUGAUCAACUCAGACUCUAGAGCAGGAUCUCCAUUGGGUACCUAGGUUUUAGAUUCCACGUUAUGGGCCCAGAUGUUUGGUUUCAUCAGCACAUCAACAGUAGACCAGCCCUCUAAGGAGGAACGUAUUCCCAACAAACGCACUGAUGUGUAGUUCUGAAUGCUGAUCAGUUCACCUGGGGUUUCCUUUUCUCAUGAUGAACAUACCAUAUUAACAUGUGCUGUAUGAGGCAGCUCCUUUUCCAGCAUCAGGGCACUGGGAAAACGAGUUUUUAAUCAGAAGCCUACUCUGUAAAUUUAGAAUGGGCUCAAGAAGGUCUUGAGGAAUAAUCUGUAUGGGUUCAGCUGAGGCUUGAUGAUGUCUUUGCUUGACAAUGAACACUUUGGAGGAGGAAGUGGAUUUGUAUGUACCUUUAAAGGUCACUGGUUUGUUUCCUCUAGGCUUCCUUUCUCAUCUUUUUUUGAUACAAUGUUUCUUUUUUAUUUUGAUAUAGAAAUUUUUUUGUCUAUCAGUUUUUUCAUAUAUCAGUUUUUACUACUAAUAAUAUAACAGUUGAAUAUAUUGUAGAAAAUAACUACUGUACAGAGAACAUUACUGUUAAUAUAUCGAUACCUACCCUUUUUCCUUUGUAUUUAUAUAUGUAGCAGGCUGCUCAGUGAGGCAGACUUUAAAAUGUACUUUUCUUGUCAUAAAUAUUUAAAGUUGGUAGCAGAUUGUGUCAGAGGUGACAGCACAUCAUCUUUGAACCAGACUUGUGCACCCAGAGUGUCUCUUUGGUUAUACAGUUAUAGUGUAAAUAUUCUUGUAUUUUUUAAUAAUGUAGAUAAAACAGCAAGAAUGCAAAUAAGUCAAAUGGAGAUGUGAAGUAAUCUGUUUAAUAAUGUAAAUGGUUCUUAUUGAGGGAGAGUACACCUUAGCUGAAAUUUAUUUAAAUUUUUUUAUAGAAAGUUUAAAUUGUAUGUACAUAUUAAGCAAUGAAUAUAAUGAACCCCCAUAGAUUUUGAUCCAGCUGGGACAGUUCACUCCUGAGUCAUUUCACUCUGGAGUCAUCUGUAUACCUGUCUGGUCUCUUCCUUCACAGAUAAUUCUGCAGAAGUCCCCAAACAGCAUGGCAUUUCUUUUGUAAAUACUUCAGUAUAUAUCUAUAAGGACUCAAAAAAUUAAACCAGUAACCAUGAUAUGAUUACUAUACCUAAUUUUUUUUUUUUUUUUGUCUUUUUAAGGCCACACCCUCAGUGUUUGGAAGUUCCCAGGCUAGGGGCUGAGCCAGAGCUGCAGCUGCCGGCCUACGCCACAGCCACAGCAAUGAGGGAUCCAAGCUGCAUCUGUGACCUACACUGCAGCUUGUGGCAAUUCCGGAUCCAUAACCCACUGAGUGAGGCCAGGGAUUGAACCCACAUCCUCAUGGAUACUAGUCAGGUUCUUAACCUGUUGAGCCACAGGUUAAGAUUAAUUUUUUUUUAAAUAAUUUUUUUACUACUAGUGGCUGUGCCCGUGGCAUAUGGAAGUUCCCAGGCCAGGGAUCAAAUCUGAGCUGAAUCUGUGACCUACGCCACAGCUGCAGCAACACUGUAUCCUUAACCCAUGGUGCCACAGAGGGAACUCCUAUUCCUAAAAAUUUUAACAGUGAUUUCCUAAUAUCACCCAGCAAGUGUGUAUGUUUCUCCAUUCUGUAUUUCUCAUAUGUAAUUUGCAGUUGUAUCUAGUGGGUGGGUGAGACACAUUUGAUUUUUUACUAUUUCCCUUUCCACACUCAGAAUUCUUUGAUGCCACUUGCUAAGAGCAGCCCACAUACGAGGAGGAAGAGGGGAAGUCCAGAGAGUCAUUUUGAAGUCAAAUAAUUUUUUUUUUCCUGCUAAUCGCCUUGGGUUUGGUAAAGAGUAAAAGGCGGAAGAAAGGACUCAGAGCUGAAUAGAUAUUCUAGGAGAAUAUAAGGCAAAAAAAAAAAAAAAAAAAGAGCUCCUUGGCUGAGGAGCUGUGAUGACUAAUCUAUAAUUUUAGGUUGCUUAUUUCUGGGUUAUAAUUUGUAACUUUGAGUGAAAUUUAUUAAAUUCCUACUGCCUAGCGUCAACAUUAGUUGGCAAAGCAGAAUUGAGAAAAGUGAGCAGUGGUUUUCAGAGAGCAGCUGUAGAACGGCAGUCACCAGUGAAAGGCGACAAGUGGCAACAACCAAAACAUAGGAGCCCCUUGUGGGACUCCCAGGCAUUCAGGAGGGAUGUGAAUUUCCUCUCCUAAAACAAGAAGCUUGAUUUCUUUUCGUUAGAUCAUAAAGAAAAAGGUGACCCCAGAAGGCUGGAGUUCUGGGGUUACUCAUGAUGUAUAUGUUUUCAUAAAGCAAAAUGGCUAUAACAUGAUGAAUCAAUUAGGGAUUAUAGUGUGAAAUGAUCUUAUCACAGGGACCGCUGUUUGUUAUAAAGUGAUAGUAUAUGUUUGGAAUAUAACAUAGACCCUGAUAGGAAAGUAGCUGCUAAGUAACUCACAGGAUCUCUCUUUAUUUGAAUGGCUGUCCACUUAGGUUUUUUAAAUAAAAUGUAAUUUUUUAUUGCUCUUUGUUUACUUUUAGUGGUAGUGAAUUGCUACCAAAACUGCUAGUUCAAGACCAGUAGUAAUAAAGAAUUUUACAAAGUUCAUGAAUUUAUGUAUUUAAAGGCUUAGGAGUUUUGUUUUUUUCUCAGAUUUUAUACAAUUUUUUUUACUUUGUUUUUUGGGUCCCACAUUUACUGAAAUGAAUUAAAUUCCACCCAUUCCACUUACUGAAUUCUACCCCUCAGUUAAUUCACACUGGACAUUAUUACUGGUCCCUGCCAGCACCCGUUUAUUUUAUGUAGUAGCGUCCUCAUUUCUACUCCAUUUCUGCCCCCUCAUUGCUGUUCUAUUGCAUGUAUGUUCCUCCAUUCUGCCAUUUUUAUUCUCAUGUACAUCAUAUUGUAUAUAUGUGUGUUUUACUUGAUAUAAGUGGUAUUAUGAUCUAAUUCUCAUUUUAUAUCCCUUUUUAUGCCAUACUCUGUUUAUGACGCUAUGCAUAUCACUCAGUGGAUAUUUAGCUUACUAAAUCUCUCUUAAAAAUAUUUCCUUACAUGCACAUUCCUCACUUUACUUUUUGGUACCACCACCAGUACUUACCAUGAAUCUCUUGAUAUAUUUGUUCUUCUGGGCCUUGGCAAGAGUUUCUCUGCAGUCUAGAGCCAGAAGUAGGAUUUCUGGGUCAUUGGAUAUUCCUGCACUUAAUUUCUCUAAGCACUGGCAACAUUUUUUCCAUAAUGGCUGCAACAGUUUUGUGACCAGAAAUACAAAAUUACCAUUUCCUAGAUUUUGUCAGUAAUUGGAGUUACAUGAAUUUAUAAUUUUGCCAUUUUUAUGUGUAUAAAAUAGUACUUCCUUAUUUAAUUUGCAUUCCUCUGACUAUGACCGGAUUUGAGCAUGUCCUCACACGUGUUGCAGUUUGGUUUUCUUCUUUUGUAAGUUGCUUAUUCAUAGCCUUUGUCCAUUUUUCUGUGGGAUUUUUUUGUCUUCAUGAUUUUUAUUUCAAUUAUUUACACCCAAUGCGUUAUCCAUCUGCUGACAUUGUGUGUGGUGACUUUCUUUAAACAGGGACCUUUGAUUUUAUUUUUAUAACGUCUGUCACUUUUCCUCCUUAAGGUUUGUUCUUUGAGAAUAUUGUGUAAGAAAUCGUUUUCUCCGUCAAGAUCAUGAAGACAUUCUCCUAUAUAACCUUUACUUAGCUUUAUGUUUUAAUUUUGCUUUUUAUGUUUUGGUUUCUAAUACAUCUGGAGUCCACAUCUGGAGACUGUGUGAGUGUCAUUUUAGAUUACCCCUGGCAAUGUAUGGGAAUGCCCAUUCCUUGUUCUGUGGGAGAAGAUCAUUUGGCGGAGGUAAUGCAGCCCAGAUUGCAGAAUCAAGUUGCAGGUUGAAGAAUGUGAGUGCCAAUCCUCUCCAAUUCUGUAAGUCAGUGAAUAUCAUAUCUAUUCAGACAGCUUCCUGAUAUUAGAUCAUUCUGAAAUAUAACCUUCCUUACGAUACAAUAGUGACCUCACAUUCAGGCAUGUCAAGAAAAUAUGACCUUCUGACUUCUUAACAAAAUUUUAUCCCAAGUGACUUGGUAAAAACACUGUGCACACCUUAUUAAACAAUCCAAGGGAAAAUGUCUCUUCUAUCUGUAGUGGAAGAAUCACAUUGACAUUUGGCAAAGGUCAGAGCUUCAGAAAUAUAACUUAGUAAUAAACUGCUAGUAUUUUUAUAUUGUGGUGGUAAAAGAAAACUGCAGGAUUUUUUUUUUUUUUUUGACAUGUUUAAUUCUUACCAAGAACUUCCUAAGCACAUUGUUUGUCUACUGAAACUCAGCCUGUUCCACAUUUUUGACAGAAAAGCUAAGUCUUUUCCUUUUGAAAAAUAAGAGUUGGUUUUUUUUUUUUUUUUUUUUUUCCUCAAAGAUCUAUGUAUGCUAGAGGUCUAGGAAAUUUAUAAGCUUUGGCACAGGCUUCCUCACAUUCACAAAACUGACUUAAGAUGACCCUGAAAUAGAACAAAUCCAAAAGAGCUCUGGAAAUAGGGAAGAAAAUCAUCUAUAUGCCUCAAUACUAGAGACUAUUUACUAACUAUAAUAUAGGAGGAGCUAUGUUGAAAGAAAUCAUUAGAACUGGCCUAUAAUAUUGCUUUUUAAAUCAGUAGAAUCACAUGAAAUGACGAGGGAGAUUAUGGGAGAUUCCCCACUGAUAGUCCUUAUUUCGAGGGGUGAGAGCUAGAGGUGAGGGGAUGGCGUUGGGACAAAAGGUAAAACUUCCGUGAUGUGAAUCAACAGCGUCUAAAGCAGUUAAUACAAAGGGCCUCAGGAGAAAUAUGGCCACAUCAAGUAGCAGUAUGUGAGCAAUGGGGCUUCUUUCUGAUACGGCUGGGCUUUUCCAUGGCAUGGUAGCUGUGGCCUUAGGAAGAAGAAAGGCCACAGCCAAAGCCACAGUACAAUUAUUUAACAAAUACACAGCCUUUAGUGUAUUCCAGGCAUUGUUUUAUAUUAGUGGUUCUCAGUUGGGGUGAUUUUGCCCCCCCCCCCCGCCCCUUGGGACAUUUGGAAACCUCCCAGGAUAUUUUUGGUUGUCACAACUGGGAAGAAGCUGCUGCUAACAUCUGGUUUGUGGAGACUGAGGAUUCUACCAAACAUGCUAAAAUGCACAGGACCACCCUCACGGCAGAGAAUUAUCAGGCCUGAAAUGUAGAUAAUGCCAAGGUUGAGAAACUCUGUUUUAAGUAAUUUAACAAAUAUUAACUCAUUUAACCAUCACGGCCACCCUUGAGACAGAUAAGGGGCUUGCCCAAUGUAAUCUAUCUAAUGGGGAGGCCAGGCCAAAGGGAGACAAAUGUAAGCAUUACAGAGAGGAGCUAUUACAUUAAUACUAGCCUAAGUAAAAUUCAAGGUAAGAUUUUUAUAAGGAGGAUUUUUUUUUUUUUUCUUUAAGGAAUGGUAUAAUUCCCAGUGGAAAUAUUUUUGUUGUGAAACUUUGGACACUAAAUAAUAUAACUCUGAAAUAUAUAAAGCGAUUGUUGGACAUGUAGGAAGUAAUUGAAAUAUAAUAGUAGGUUUUUUUGUAAACAGCCUUAUUGAAGUAAAGUUGAUAUACAAUAAAUUGUACAAAUUUUAAUUUAAUAAUAUAUAUAUAAUUUCAUAAAUUUGAUAUAUGUCUAUACCUGUGAAAUCUUUACCUCGGUCAAUAUAAUGAACAUAUCAGAGUUCCCAUCAUGGCUCUGCAGUUAAUGAAUCUGACCAGCAUCCAUGAGGACACAGGUUAGAUCCCUGGCCUUGCUCGGUGGGUUAUGGAUCUGGCAUUGCCAAGAGCUGUGGUUUGGUCAGACGCAGCUCGGAUCCUGCGUUGCUAUGUCUGUGGUGUUGCUGCAAAAAAGGUAAUGAACAUGUCUAUCACUCCAAGCUUUCUCCUUCCUUUAUAGUGUAUAAUUCUUCCUUCCACUCCCUUGCUGGUCCUUCCUCCAAUCCUAAUCAACCUUUGAUCUGCCUUCUGUCACUGUAGAUUAGUUUGCAUCUUCUGCAGUUUUGUGUCAGUGAGCUCAUACCAUAUAUAUCUUUGUGGGGUAUUUUUUCUUUGGCUUGGGAUGUUAAUUUUGUGGCUCACCCAUGCUGUUGCAUGUAUCAGCAGUUCAUCCCUUUUUAUUGAUAGAUGGUGUUCCAUUGUAUGGCUAUGCUUCGAUGUGUUUAUCCCAUUCACCUUUUGAUGGACACUUGGUUGUUUGCAGUUUUGGGCUAUUACAAAUAAAGACACUAUAAACAUUCCUGAACAAGUCUUUGUAUGGACAGAUGCUUUUGUUUUUCUUGGGUGAAUACCUAGGAAUUUGGUUCAUGUGGUUAAGUGUAUAUUUAAUAGUUCAAGAAACUGCCAAACUGUUUUUCAAAGGUAUUGUCCCAUUUUCCAUUCCCACGAGCUGUGUCAGAGGGUACCAGUUGUUCCACAUCCUCUCCGGUAUUUGUUAUGGUGAGUCUUUAUCAUUUUGACAUUCUAGUAGAUGUAUGGUUAUCCUAAUAUGUUUGGGCUGCUAUGAUAAAAUACUAUAGACCUGGUAGCCUAUAAACAAAAGAAAUUUCUCACAAUUGUGGAGCCUGGAGAGUCUAAGAUCAAGUCUUCUGCAAGGUUGGGUUCCAGUGAGGACUUGUUACCGGGUUCAUAGAUGGCUGUAUUUCCACCGUAAUUUCAUGUGGUAUAAGAGGCAAGGCAGUUCUUUGGGAUCUCUUUUAAAAGAGCACUUUUCCCAUUCAUGGGGGCUCUACCGUCAUGACCUAAGCACCCCCCAAGGGCCCUACCUUCUAAUACCAUCACCUGGGGGUUAGGAUUUCAACACCUGGAUAUUGAGGGGACAUAAACAUUCGGACAUAACAAUAGUGGUAUCUCAUAUUCUCUUAUGUAAAUGACUAAUGGUGUUGAAUACCUUUUCCUGUGCUUAUUUAUCAUCUAUAUAUCUGCAAUUGAACUGUACUUUCAUUUAAAAAGAGAAAUCUUUGCUUAGAGAAAGGCAGAAAGGUCUUAUUCUGUGUUUUCCUCUAGAAGUUUUAGAGUUCUAGAUCUGUAAAUUUUAUGAUCUGUUUUAAGUUCAUUUUUAUAUAUAGUAUGAAAUCUCCUGUCCUCCUUCUAUUCUGUUGUGGUCAACGAAACCCUUUCAGUCAGGGUACCACAGCAGCUGCUGCUCACGUCCAGUUCCCACUGGUUGACUGGGAGCCUUCUUUUAUCUCCCCUAAACAACUUGACCUAGUUCAUGUCAGCCAGAAUAAACAGUUUAUGUGAUGAUCAGUUUAUUUGGCUAAAUCACUAGGGCAGGGUGACGUGAAAGAAAGUUGUAUACUUGCUAGGGACUGGAUGAUAUUAAAAGCAAAACCAAACACAUGAUCCUCCCCAAACUCUAGAAGUGCUAUACACUCUGUCCUAUCCUGCACUUCUUAAAUCGUGUUGGGCCAGAUAUGGAGGAAUUUGCUAACAGCAAAUCUCUAAGGGCAGGCCACUGUUUCAGAUGGAACAAGUAAGGAUUUUUUUUUUUUUUUUUUUUUUAGUUCUGUGGCAGAUGUAAUGGGUCCAUAGUGUCAUCCUGUCAUAAUUGACUCUCCUUGUUUAGGAAAUGAGGGGCAAGUGUUGUUGUUGUUGUUUUAAAUUUAUUUUCUAAUAAAUUUCCAGUCUUCAAAGAGAUUUUUUGGUUUCUUUCUUUUUUUUUUUUUUUUACAGCCACACC